rnacentral:lncRNA from 1 species
GAGAGAGUUUGUGUAAACAUGUUCGUCGCCGUUUGCGAUUUGAUGUAUGCAAGAGAGGUGACUGGCCAUGGAGCCAAGGGCGGAACGCGUCAGAGAAGUUGCUUGUGCUGAUUCCCGUUGGCAAACUUUGGAAGGGUUGGCCGUCCUGUUAGUCACCAGCCAGAUUAAACUCUCGUCCAAGGCCACUUUGAUUCAUGAUACCGAGGCCUGCGUCGGCGUUGCUUUGGCCCAAAUAUCUUCGGGUUCAGACACUGUGACGUCAUCAAUGUAAACAAACAGGAAGGAAUAGCUGCAGCUUUUAAUUCUGGAAGGGAAGAUGGCCAACGGACUUAGUGAUUCGAUCAAGUGAAAUGAUGGAGAAGUUCUGUGAUCUGUCUGUCUGGGAGAGGAAGUUUCAAGAAAGCUAUGCCCAUGGAUGAAACUGUAUGUACUUCAUGUUGAUUUAAAGGUCUAUCUUGCAGGGAUUUAUUGCACCAGGAUAAAUUUUGCAGAUAUGAUGAAUAUGGGUUCAUUUUGUUGUGCAGGUUUCUACUACUUACUGCUCAUAUUGCCAGUGAAUGUUAAAUUCUUGUAUGAUGUUUUUCAUGAUUUUGUUGAAAUGUAAUUCUCAAACCUCUUUUUUGUAUGAAUUUUUGACAUCAGAUUUAUUUCUGAAGAAAAGAAUUAGCAUGUAUUGAUUAUGAAUAAAGUAAUGUCUCAGAGAUUCAAAUUAAUCUUGACUUAAUUUAUUGAUCUAGUACUGUAAACAUAAUUAAUUUGGUUGUUAUCUAUAUGAUUAAUAUAACUGUGAUAUAUAGCAUUUAAAAUACAUAUAAAAAGCUGUAUAUGCUAUGCUGUUAUGAUUGCUUAUAUUUUCUUCAAAAAGAUAUAUAAAAUAUUACGAUAAACAGGACCAUAAGAGCAGUUAUGCUGGCAACCAGUUAUGGUGUGCAUAUUAAUAACAUGUGUAUAUAGGAUAAAUAUGUUUAUGUCUAACUUAAUACCAUCUAUUUAGUGUAUUCACAGGUGGAUAUAUAUUGCUGUUCACACAGCAGUGAAUGAGUGGAUCUAGAUCAACGGUAUGUGAAAGGAUUUUUACCAAGUGGAACUGUUCUUAACUUUUAAAUGAGUAGUUUUACUUUUUUGCGUUAUGCCAACAUUUAUUAUGUCUGUAAUAUUUUUCAUAUUGAUAAAACAUGCUUUAAAUUCAAAUAUCAAAUAUAUACAUAUAUAUAUUUCUACUUGUAUAUAUAGGCUCACAGUAGCAAUUUUUCUUUAAUUACAUUCUUACAGGUUGAAAGUGAUGUUUUUUGUAAGUCAGGAAAUAAACUGUAAAACAGA